CAAUGAAUAUUUUAAUAAAAAUUUAGGUUUUGGUAACUUAAAAUAUGUGUGUAUACAUUUCAUUGA
rnacentral:tRNA from 1 species